CUCCAUUUGUCUAAAUAUACAUAGGGAUUAAGGAGAGAGCGCAGGUAACUUUUUUUCUUUUCUUUGAAUCCCCAUAUAUGUUUGGUGAGAUAGGUGGUUUUAAAUAGCCUUGUAAAAUGUAAACUGUAUUUUUUUUUGUGUAUGCUGUUCCUAUAGCUGUAUUUUGUCCACUUGUCUAUUAACAUGGCUCAAUUUGAUAAUUAGUAUUGAGAAUUCAAUUGACAUACAUUUAAAGUGCAGCACUUAAUCAAACUAUUUAUACAUUAUAAUGUUUUAAUAUAUUUUAUUUUAAAUGGGUUAUUUUAAAAUUAACAAUGUUCUUUCUGCUUUCAAUAUGUGUAUUCCCACCUAAUUUCCAGAAGAAGGCAGUAUAAAACAUGCAACAUGUUUUUUAGACCAGCAUACUUGCUCUUUUUCUAAUUUCAUUCAACUCUGAUCUAUAAACUAAUAUCUUAUUUCAGAAUCAAAUACUGAUCAAAUAUUAGUCACUCCCCCCAUAACCCCCCCAAAAAUACCCCAUUAUCCUCUCAGAAUAAAAAUAGUAAGGGGGAGACAAUAAGCUA